rnacentral:rRNA from 1 species
UACGUAGGGUGCAAGCGUUGUCCGGAAUUAUUGGGCGUAAAGAGCUCGUAGGCGGUCUGUCGCGUCUGCUGUGAAAACUCGGGGCUUAACCCCGGGCCUGCGGUGGGUACGGGCAGACUAGAGUGCGGUAGGGGAGACUGGAAUUCCUGGUGUAGCGGUGAAAUGCGCAGAUAUCAGGAGGAACACCGGUGGCGAAGGCGGGUCUCUGGGCCGUAACUGACGCUGAGGAGCGAAAGCAUGGGGAGCGAACAGG